GGGCGAAUAGCUCAGUUGGGAGAGCACCUGCCUUACAAGCAGGGGGUCACAGGUUCGAGCCCUGUUUCGCCCA
rfam:Halanaerobium hydrogeniformans chromosome, complete genome.